CUUGGCUCAGCGUUAGAACCUUCUGUGUUUAGUUCCUUGCGGAGCAUUUUCUCUUAACAAGCCUGAGGAUCUGGAAGAAGUUCAGUGUGAGGACGAGUGUUAGGAAAUAAGGCUGAAGACAGAGGCAACCCUGGAGGAUCUUCUAACCCAUGUCAAGCAGUUGAGAAUUUAUGGAGUGAAAUAGCAAGCCAUUGAAGAGUUUCAAGCUUUCAUCCAGCUUUUAAGGGAAACUAAUAUCUCAUGAAAUUGUGAGGGCCUGGAAUCUUCAAAGAGCCAAGGAUUCUGCCAGACUGAGCAAUAGACUUGAUGAGCAUUCUCCACUUAAGAUCUGAACUAUGAGAAGUCGAAUCAAAGCAGUUCUUUUGUAAUUCCAAACAGCCAUUUAGACAUAUGAAGAAAUGAAAGUAAAGCAGUUCUAAAGACAAGGAAGAGGGUCAAUGAAAGGUGCUCCCAAUGCAAUCACAAAGAUCUUUAAAAGUGGAAGAAGGUGGGAGAGGUCAGAGUGAUACGAAGAGAACUCAGUCUACCACUGCUGGCUUUGAAGAUGGAAGAAUGGGGCUAUGAGCCCUGGAUUGCGGGCAGCCUGCAGAAGCUGGGGCAGAGAUUCCACACAGGCACCUCUAGAAAAUAAUGCAGCCAGCCAAUCCUUAGACUUUAUCCCAGUGAGAGUCAAGUUGGACUUCUGACCUACAAAAGAGUAAAUAUCUAAAUUAUCUGUGGCAACAACUUGGUGGGGUCAACUCGAAUGUUUUUGUCG
rnacentral:lncRNA from 1 species